rnacentral:lncRNA from 1 species
AUCAUGUGUAUUGCUUCUGAAAACACAUGCCCUUUCUAAUGUUGUUGAACUUCCAUAUCUACGACGAUCUCUGUUGGGUACACUGAGAUUGUGGAUUUAUCAUUUGGCUAAUUUCUUCUUUGUUCAAGAGUCAACUACUUUGUUACUCUGUACCAAAUGACAUAAAAGUUACUUGUCUGUCAUAUUUUUGGGAUUAGUUGUUUGUACUUUUUUCAUUCGAGUUUGCAGGUUUCAACAUAUCUCAACACUAAAAUAAGUUUUGCCUCUCAAGUGUGGUUACACUUCUAUGUAUAUGUGUAAUGCAUUUGUUCCAAGUAAUUUUUUAUUUCAUUUUUAUUUGUAUUCUUUGAAAAGCAGACAAUACUUUUUACCCAAAAAAAUGAGCAGGGCCUCUCUUCAAUUUGGGAGUCUUACUUAUACAAACAAAUUGUUAGUAUUUCUACUUUAUGAUUAAUUUGGUUGUUGUUUAUGAUGGUAAUCUUUACAUGUUUGACUACAUUCAUUUACUCCUAUUCCUAGAAAUAGUCACAUAUGAAGUAUAAGUGUGACAGGUUCCAUUGUAGAGGAAUUAUAAAGCAUGUAGAAAGCUUUAUAUUUGUUUUAACUUCGUGUAUGAACAUUUUCUUUGUUGUGAUAUGUGGAUGUU